AUUGAACGCUGGCGGCAGGCCUAACACAUGCAAGUCGAACGGUAACAGGAAUCAGCUUGCUGAUUCGCUGACGAGUGGCGGACGGGUGAGUAAUGUCUGGGAAACUGCCUGAUGGAGGGGGAUAACUACUGGAAACGGUAGCUAAUACCGCAUAAUGUCGCAAGACCAAAGAGGGGGACCUUCGGGCCUCUUGCCAUCGGAUGUGCCCAGAUGGGAUUAGCUAGUAGGUGGGAUAACGGCUCACCUAGGCGACGAUCCCUAGCUGGUCUGAGAGGAUGACCAGCCACACUGGAAAUGAGACACGGUCCAGACUCCUACGGGAGGCAGCAGCGGGGAAUAUUGCACAAUGGGCGCAAGCCUGAUGCAGCCAUGCCGCGUGUAUGAAGAAGGCCUUCGGGUCGUAAAGUACUUUCAGCGGGGAGGAAGGGAGUAAAGUUAAUACCUUUGCUCAUUGACGUUACCCGCAGAAGAAGCACCGGCUAACUCCGUGCCAGCCGCCGCGGUAA
rnacentral:rRNA from 1 species